GGAAGAGGGGCGGGACAGAGCGAUGCUGCCUGAACUGACAGCAAAUUUAAAUUACUGAGCUUUCUUUUGCUUUUUUUUCUUUCUUUGCUUGCCCUUUCUUUUUUUCCCCCCCCCUUUUUUUUUUUUUUUUUUUUGGUAUUUUUCUACUCUGCGACAAACUGAAAAGAUUCGAGCACACGCUAAUUUAACAACCCUGCUUCGUCGUCUUCUUUUUUUUUUCCCCCUUCUGCUUCCAGGAUAAUUAAAAGAGAAACCUGUAAAGGCAACGUUCCUUCAAGCAAGUUGGUGCUGUAACGUGCUGGUCUACAAAUAGAAAAAGCUCAAGGUGUUAAUCAGCUGAACAGGUAUUCAGCUCUUUUCAACAGAAUAACAAGGAGUAGAGAGACUGCCACAGAGUUAUCUGGAACAUUACCAAGGUGAGGUCUUCUGCCAAGCAAUUUCCCUCCCCCUGAGAGCACCAGGUCAUACUUUUCAUCCCUCAUGUUUCCUAUAAUGUGGAUGUCCUCUCAUGUCACCUGUGCUGCUUUGCCAGUCCUGUCAGGCUUGAACACCCAUCUGCCUACACUUUAUGAGUGUCUCUGCCAAACUAUGACAGAAUUGUCCAUACCUUCAUAUAAUAUUUACUGAAGCUUUAUUCUCCCUUAAAUAAAGCAGGGAUUUGGCAUAGCCCGUUUGUGGCCCUCUCUUCAAACACAGAAGUUUUGCUUUCCACCUUCAAAUAAAUUCCUUCUCAAAACUCACUCUUGUUUAGAGGCACAUAAAUAAUUGGUCAAGAAAACAUUACUCAUCCCGGAUGGCAGGCAGUGCUAGCUGAUAACAUUAAAAUAUCUUGAAUGUCAAACUAUAUGCAGUUAUCCAGAGCUAGUCUUUGGAAAUGAUAUCAUCUUCUAUCUUUUCCUAAACCACAUCAUUAAAAAGAAAAGAAAAAGAUUCCAGCCCUCGAUAUUUAAAUGUUCUCUAGUCAACUGUCUUAAAGAGCAGAUUUUCCAUAAUUUGGAUGCCUGCUAUUUUCUAAAGAAAGUCAUUAUUUUGAAAUGAGACUUGAAUUUAACUAAUCACUCCUUUAAAAUAAAAAAAAGUAACAAAACCUGAUGUUUGACCUUUUACUAUGCCUCAGAUGCUGAUUUCUAAAUACUAUUUUCUUUCAUCUAACCUUUGAGCUGCUUUCCUGCACUGCAAACAGGACUGCCUAUUACCCAUUAUAUCUGCUGUAGAGGAAUGCCCUGAUGGUGUUUGGUCUUUCUGAGGCAGUGUAAUAUAAAUUACAAUAAUUAUUUGGGAUGGUAACAAGUUUGAUUUAUUGUAAGCCAAUCUGGGGUUUUUUUGAGGAAAUAAUACACAGGGUGUCUCCUUGCUAUUCUGAUCUUUUAUUUUUCUGGAGUAAAGCUUCAAU